rnacentral:rRNA from 1 species
UGUGUAGGUGGAUCGUUAAGUACCUUGUGAAAUCCCACGGCUUAACCGUGGAACUGCUUGGUAUACUGGCGGUCUUGAGCCAGCUAGGGGCUACCGGAACAAAUGGUGGAGCGGUGAAAUGCGUAGAUAUCAUUUGGAACGCCAAUGGUGAAAACAGGUAGCUGGGGCUGUGCUGACACUGAGACACGAAAGCCAGGGGAGCAAACG